CUUCUGAAGGCUGGGUCAUACUGAAGGUUCCUUUUUAACCAAACUUCAAGGGAUGAAAACGAAGAUAAGCACGAAGAAUGUGAGGGCAGAAAAAAAGAACGCUUAGAGGAUUGGUUUGGAGGAUGCAGUUGUCUGGAC